GCCACUUUUUUGCCCAAAAUCUUGAAGUUCCGGCCACUACCACCCCCACAAUACCUACAUCAACAGAUAGAACUCAUCAAGACCUACCUAUUGAUGUCAACUCCAUCUCGAAAAUCCGGCAACUAAAAAUCCGGCUAAAUUCCGGCGACCACCCCGAACACCCUCAAUUGAUUCUUGAUAAUAAUAAGAAGGAUUUGGUCCCGGUUUGGUUGAUGGAACAUAUUAGAUCUGAUUUUGUUUCAAGAUGAAUGUUAUAUUAGUGUUAUCAUCAUGUAAAUCUGUUAAAAAUUAGUUAAAUUAUCGUUUUCUUCUUUAUAUAUGUGAUUGAAAUUGCAUUA